AUCCUUUUGUAGUUCAUAAGCGUAAGGAUUGGGUUUUCAUGUGCAUGCGUGAGAUGUACCUCCCACAAAUCUUGUUACAACAUUGGCACAUUACCCAUCAGAUG